CCUACGGGCGGCAGCAGUGAGGAAUAUUGGUCAAUGGGCGCGAGCCUGAACCAGCCAAGUCGCGUGAAGGAAGACGGUCCUAUGGAUUGUAAACCUCUUUUGUCGGGGAGCAAAAGACGCCACGCGUGGCGUUCCGAGAGUACCCGAAGAAAAAGCAUCGGCUAACUCCGUGCCAGCAGCCGCGGUAAUACGGAGGAGGCGAGGGUUAUCCGGAGUUAUUGGGUUUAAAGGGUGCGCAGGCGGAAGCUCAAGUCAUAGGUAAAAUUGAGAGGCUCAACCUCUUCGAGCCGUUGAAACUGGUGUUCUUGAGUGAGCGAGAGGUAUGCGGAAGGCGUGGUGUAGCGGUGAAAUGCAUAGAUAUCACGCAGAACUCCGAUUGCGAAGGCAGCAUACCGGCGCUCAACGGACGCGCAUGCACGAAAGUGUGGGUAUCGAACAGGAUUAGAUACCCCUGUAGUC
rnacentral:rRNA from 1 species